rnacentral:rRNA from 1 species
UACAGAGGUCCCAAGCGUUUGUUCGGAUUCAUUGGGCGUAAAGGGUGUGUAGGUGGCGCGCUAAGUCGGGUGUGAAAUUUCGGAGCUUAACUCCGAAACUGCAUUCGAUACUGGCGUGCUUGAGGACUGGAGAGGAGACUGGAAUUCAUGGUGUAGCAGUGAAAUGCGUAGAGAUCAUGAGGAAGACCAGUGGCGAAGGCGGGUCUCUGGACAGUUCCUGACACUGAGACACGAAGGCCAGGGGAGCAAACGGG